UAUGUACUUCCUCCAUUCGAAAUUACUUGUCGUGGAAAUGAGAAUUAUUUGUCGCGAAAAUGGAUGUAUUUAGACAUAUUUUAGUUUUAGAUACAUUCAUUUUCGAAAUAAGUAAUUUCGAAUGGAGGGAGUAGAUG
rnacentral:pre_miRNA from 1 species